rnacentral:rRNA from 1 species
AUUGAACGCUGGCGGCAGGCCUAACACAUGCAAGUCGAGCGGAUGAAGGGAGCUUGCUCCUGGAUUCAGCGGCGGACGGGUGAGUAAUGCCUAGGAAUCUGCCUGGUAGUGGGGGAUAACGUCCGGAAACGGGCGCUAAUACCGCAUACGUCCUGAGGGAGAAAGUGGGGGAUCUUCGGACCUCACGCUAUCAGAUGAGCCUAGGUCGGAUUAGCUAGUUGGUGGGGUAAAGGCCUACCAAGGCGACGAUCCGUAACUGGUCUGAGAGGAUGAUCAGUCACACUGGAACUGAGACACGGUCCAGACUCCUACGGGAGGCAGCAGUGGGGAAUAUUGGACAAUGGGCGAAAGCCUGAUCCAGCCAUGCCGCGUGUGUGAAGAAGGUCUUCGGAUUGUAGAGCACUUUAAGUUGGGAGGAAGGGCAGUAAGUUAAUACCUUGCUGUUUUGACGUUACCAACAGAAUAAGCACCGGCUAACUUCGU